rnacentral:tRNA from 1 species
GCCCGGUGGGCCAACAGCGCCUCACUGGUAAUGAGGAGGUCCCGGGUUCGAAUCCCGGCCGGGGCU